rnacentral:rRNA from 1 species
CAAUAGCGUAUAUUAAAGUUGUUGCGGUUAAAAAGCUCGUAGUUGGAUUUCUGCUGAGAACGACCGGUCCGCCCUCUGGGUGUGUAUCUGGCUCUUUCUUGGCAUCUUCUUGGUGAACGUUGCUGCACUUGACUGUGUGGAGCGCUACCCAGGACUUUUACUUUGAGGAAAUUAGAGUGUUUCAAGCAGGCAUACGCCUUGAAUACAUUAGCAUGGAAUAAUAAGAUAGGACCUCGGUUCUAUUUUGUUGGUUUCUAGAGCUGAGGUAAUGAUUAAUAGGGAUAGUUGGGGGCAUUCGUAUUUAACUGUCAGAGGUGAAAUUCUUGGAUUUGUUGAAGACGGACUACUGCGAAAGCAUUUGCCAAGGAUGUUUUCAUUGA